rnacentral:lncRNA from 1 species
AAUAAUUGUCAUUCAUGUGCAAGCAAACAAGGGCAACUGCAGUUUUUGGAUUUUGUGUCAAAUUACCUCUUGCUGCAUAUAUUCUGUAUGGAGUCUCCUAUACAGGGUUUGGCGUAUUUAACUUCUGAUGGGCAUGUUUGUCUGUCUACAGGGCCCACCCAGCAACCUGCAGCUGCUGUGGACAACACCACAUGCUUUUCCCACCACACAUCACCACGCAGAGUCAGUGGAAGGUUAAAGCAGUAGUAAGGUGUGUGGCAUAAAACUGCAUUCUAAGUUCCACAUCACAGUCAUUGCAGUUCUUGAUGGUCUGACAAAGGUGCUACUGUAUGCCCCUGCCUGAUCUUUGCUGCAUACAGGCUCACAAGCUGCUUGUGGAGGACUGCUGCUGCAGCAAUGUCUUGUAGUGUUAACUAACGGCGAUAGAGGACUAAUACUAGGCAUGACUACCAGAAGGUGUUAGGGUGGAUAGUGCAUGUGACCUAUGAUGUAGCAUGUUUUGAGGCAAAUUUUGUUGAGAUGGAUGAGCUGCAGCUGGGUGCACCCAAUAUGAAACUGUUUGGAGCUGUUUCAAAGCUUCUGCUGCAGCAGCUGCUGCAUACAGGCUCACAAGCCACUUGUGGAGAAGCUACUGCUAGCAGCAGCGCUGCUGCACUGUACAGUCACUGUACAGACUUGUCUUGGAGUGUUAACUGACGGUGAUGGAGGACUACUUCUAGGCAUGAAUACCAGAAAGUGUUAGGGUGGAUAGAAUGCUUCUGAGCUAUAAUGUAGCAUGUUUUGAGGCAAAUUGUUGACAGAUCGAUGAGCUGCAGCUGCAGCAGCCGCUGUUGUGGAAAUGUUUGGUGCUGUUUGGAAGCUGCAGAUUGUUUGGAAGCUGCAGCUGCUUCAGCUGAAGCAGGCAAUGCAUAUGGCUUAAUGUUGUUACAUAGCAGGACUUCGGAAUUUCGUAUGCAUGUAGCUGCUGCUAGGCGAUGUGUAUAUGUAAAAUUAUGAAUCCACG